rnacentral:lncRNA from 1 species
AAAUAGUUCAGAUUAGAGUUGUAGGAGGCAGGCACAGAGUUUAUAAUAGAAUAAAGGAGGAUACUCUAGGGGAGGACAGUAGACAAUGGCUAGAGAGACAAUUGUUCUAGCAGAUGCACUUUAUAGUAUUUCUUGUCAUUUCUGCAUUGGACAGUUUGUCUAGAGGCAAUUUUCUAUCCAGAUUGUCUGAGAAUUCCCCUUUUGGCUGUCAGAAGCUUUGAACCAUUGAGUGAAGAGAAGUCUGGCACAGAGACUCUGGUUUCGAGGAGCUGACACUAUCCAGCUUUUAGUCCUACACUGUAAAAUUAAAUAGGGCCAUGCCUAAAUACACUCGAGGAGCUCGGCAUUGACACACUCAGUUUCAAAAAUCACCAGGAGAACACAUGUUCCCUCUCACCAUGGAGAAAUAAAACUGGUAAUUGUUGCAACUUACCCAGUA